AGCCAUUUUGGCUCAAG
rnacentral:ncRNA from 6 species